UACGUAGGGGGCUAGCGUUGUCCGGAAUCAUUGGGCGUAAAGAGCGUGUAGGCGGUCCGGUAAGUCCGUUGUGAAAGUCAAGGGCUCAACCCUUGAAUGCCGGCGGAUACUGUCGGGCUAGAGUCCGGAAGAGGCAAGUGGAAUUCCCGGUGUAGCGGUGAAAUGCGCAGAUAUCGGGGAGGAACACCUAUGGCGAAGGCAGCUUGCUGGGACGGUACUGACGCUGAGACGCGAAAGCGUGGGGAGCAAACAGG
rnacentral:rRNA from 1 species